rnacentral:rRNA from 1 species
GAUGAACGCUGGCGGCGUGCCUAAUACAUGCAAGUCGAGCGAACGGACGAGAAGCUUGCUUCUCUGAUGUUAGCGGCGGACGGGUGAGUAACACGUGGAUAACCUACCUAUAAGACUGGGAUAACUUCGGGAAACCGGAGCUAAUACCGGAUGAUAUUUUGAACCGCAUGGUUCAAAAGUGAAAGACGGUCUUGCUGUCACUUAUAGAUGGAUCCGCGCUGCAUUAGCUAGUUGGUAAGGUAACGGCUUACCAAGGCAACGAUGCAUAGCCGACCUGAGAGGGUGAUCGGCCACACUGGAACUGAGACACGGUCCAGACUCCUACGGGAGGCAGCAGUAGGGAAUCUUCCGCAAUGGGCGAAAGCCUGACGGAGCAACGCCGCGUGAGGGAUGAAGGUCUUCGGAUCGUAAAACUCUGUUAUUAGGGAAGAACAUAUGUGUAAGUAACUGUGCACAUCUUGACGGUACCUGAUCAGAAAGCCACGGCUAACUACGUG